GAGACCUUGCCCAGAUGUUCGUAAACAAUAACGGAGGUGUUUAUUCCUGCUCCAUGCCAAGCCCCGCUGCUGAUUUUCUUUAAAUACGGGGGGCAGCCCCCUGCUGCCAAGGAGGGCACGCGGGAGACCAGGGCACGGGCACACAAGGAGCAGUCACUGGAUCGAGAUGGGUCUCAAGGCGCUGCUGGUGGCUGUCGUGGUUAUGAUCGCCCUCUCGGGUCUGGAGUGCGCGCCGGCCGCAGAGGACGACGAGGUGCAAGUCAAAGGUCCUCUGGAUAACGUCCUGGCCCAGGCAAGAGACCUGGCAGAGGAGUACGCUGCGAAGACGCGAGAGCUGCCAGGCAUAAAGCACACCAUAGAUAUGUUCCAGAAGGGAAUCGACCUUGUGGGGCCGUACGCUCGGAUCCUUCAGGACCAGAUGCUCCACAUGUGGAAAUAAAAAUUAAGAGGGCCGGGCCAUCCAGCCACCGAAGAACGCUCUCAUCGUUGCCUUUCGACAAAGCGGCACGUGGGACCAAGAGCUGUGCUUGGACGACUUCCGACUCAUUAUGCCUUGCCCCCCCCCACCACAUUCGCGCACUCGUUAAGGUGUUAUAAGACUUGUUUUGUAGCAAUGCUUUGGAACGUUAGCACUGGCAAUGAUGCACCAACACAGCUGUUCAAUACACUAACGGUUUGAAUCACGAUUUGACUUUUCCCAUCGUGGUUAAUCGCAACCCAAGCUUAAGACUUCAACUCACUUCAUUUAGGAACUCCGCUUAAAGUGCCCAGUAUGGAUUUUAAUCUAUAAUUAGCCGUGCUGAUCAAGGCUCCAACCCCCAAAUCACAGCCACCUCGCAGUCUUACAAGCGGGUUUUUGCGAAUUUCUCCACACAUAAGAAAAAAAUAUUUGUACAUGUACAAUUCAGUGCACGCAUUGAAUGCAAGAAUAUUUUGAAAUAAAUGUAAAGUUAUAUGCCUCACAAUUGCAGUGUCGUCACGUAUCGUAAUGUACCUCGAUUUGUUUAAUAAAGUAUUUUUGACUUA